UUUCAUUUCUGAAGCGCGAGGUUCAAGUGUGACAUUUAGCGUCAUGCUAUUCUGCAGCAGAUGUCACUUUGUUUUGCUGUUACAGCUGCUGACAGUCAUAGCAGGCUCUUUUCCUUCAGUAAAGGUAAAUCUUCAUGAUGCUGCUACUCUCCCCUGCACUCAGACGUGUUCUGGUCUGGUCACAUGGACUGUGUCCUAUAAACAA